UGCUUCUCCCAUUAUCUUAGGGAUGGGGGCCUUUCUCUGGAGGCAUGAGUCCUGUGGGGAUGCAAGGCAGGUCCUUCAGUUUGUUUUCACAUGUUUGCUUAGAAGGGAGCUCUGCUCCACUUGGACUGAAAUUCUCACCAGCAGACAGCCUUGCUGGCUCCUGUGUCCUUCUGCUCUUCCCACUCCAGUUUAAACAAUUAAUGAAGGAACCUGAAACCAAGAAGUUACAGUGAGAAAAAGUGCAGAAAAGAAGGGACAAUACCUCUUCAAGCAGAUUGUGUCUGAUAAUUUUUCAUUUCAUUCACAUGGUGCCUACUCCAUGUGAUCCACAAGCAAGGAAGGAGCCACUUGGGAGAAGCACCCAGAGCUGAAGUAGGACAUACAAAAAGACAUCACUUCUAGUGAGCAGAAACCCUUACGUUGAUCACCAAGGAAAAAAACGUGAAGCUAAAAGAGAAGAAUUUGUAAAGAAAUACAUUAGGCUUGGCUAUCCCACUAACCUGUUUAUCUCCAAACUAUAAACUCUCCUUCACUUGAAUUUGUAUUUCAUAGUUUCAAUCUUAUGCUUCAAAUGAGAAAUUAAAAUUCUCCAAGGAAUCUCACAACUUCAUAUAAUGCUCUAGUUAUCUUAUAGGACUUUUCAAUUAUUUAAAAUCCAUCCAAAUUCCUUUUCCCUGAUGACAGCUCCACACUGCCCACUCAGAAAAAGACUCACCAGGAGAAUAAAUUAUUUCUUCCCUUGUCAAUGGUAAUUUGUGUUCACUAAAUUACCUCCAGAUCCACUUUCCUGAGUCAAAAAUAACUUCAUAGUUUUUUUCCCCUCCAUGUUUAGCUUGGAAAGACAUAUAGAUUUUGAAGUUAACCUCUCUCUGUUAGAUGCUCAAGAAUAAUUAAGCUCGUUUUCUUCUUAAAUCAUCCAGAUGUUUCAUUUUAAGAUGGAACAAUACAUGGUUUA